AGCGGAAGCGGUUUCUGCGCAGCCAGAGCAGGGUCCGGUGACCUUUGAGGAGGUGGCCGUGCAUUUCUCGGAGGAGGAGUGGGCUCUGCUGGACCCAGGCCAAAGGACUCUGCACCAGGAAGUCAUGGAGGAGAAUCGUGGGAUCCUGGCCUCUCUAGGUGAUCACAGGGAGAGCAAGGGAAAUGGAAUAAAUCAGAGAAGGAAAACUGAAACUGAA